UAAACACCGAUCAAUAUGUAAGCCUAUGUUACAUUUAUGACUUUGUAAUGGGCCAAAUCUGCCCGGGCCCAACAACUAAAAACCAAAAUUUAAAAAAUAAAUAAAAAUUAAACCAAAUUAAAUGUCCACAAGUUCAAAUUACAUAUCCCAAUUUCAAACCCAAACUCAAAUUUAAAACUCAAAACCGAAUUAAUCCUAGCCCAAUACUCAAUGGCCCAACAACUAAUAGAGCCCGAUAGGCCUAAUCCUUUGAAAGUUCUUGGGAACCCUAACCCUAGCCCCAUUCGCUUGGCGCUGCAGCAGCCUUCAGCAUCCUCCAGCACUAACAUCGUUCGCGCCUCCACGUCGACACAAUCGUACCACCUCCGUACACCGCCACGUUCCUGCAAGCAGACAAGCAGACAACAGCAAAAUAGAGACAAAAAAGGAGCAGCUUUUUGUAUUUUUUUUCUUUUUUCUUCAUUUUUUUUUACUUUCGGCUUCAAAAGCCAAAGCCAAAGAAUGUAAUCAAGGGAGGCACACUUCGCAUAUUGUAAUAGAGAAAAAGGCUAUCAAAAUCAAGAGGUGAUUUCCGAUUUAAAUCGCUGGGCACUUUUUUAUUCUAUAUUUUUUUUUCUUUUUUCUUUCUCUUUGGCUUUAUUAUUUAGUUCUUGUUGUUUUUUUUUUAUUUUUAUUUGAAGACACGAAUAAAAAAGGCGAAGGGCUUACCUUUUCGAACGCGCCAUCGAAGUCCCUAGUUCCUUUGUCGAGAUCGGAGUUAUAGAGGGGAUUUUGGGGGUAAAAUCGGCGGUCCUUGAGGUAGGGAUCCAAGUGGGGUUAACUAGCGAACAGAUCACCCUCCGUCGAUCACCGUUUGGGGUGGUCAAAUGGCGGCUAGGGUCUUUUGAGGCUUGGUGCUAAAGAGGGGUAAAAAUCGGCCAAAUGAGAGAAAGUAUGGGGGUAUUAGGGUUUAGCUUUAAUAGAGGCUUGAAAAAAUGGCCAAUUGCCUCUUGAUCCCCUGCUAUUGUGGAUUAAAAAUGAAACGGCACCGUUUUAGGGAAAGGGACCGGCGCAUUAACCUGUUCCAGGACCAAGCUCUUAAAAUG
rnacentral:lncRNA from 1 species